rnacentral:lncRNA from 1 species
CCCAUUCAAUUAAUCACCAUACAAAACGUAGUUGAACAAUCAUAUCAUAAAUCCGGCUCGAUUAUAACAACUUGAUUCAAAACUUCAACCAAUAAUUGGUUCCAUCAACCCUAGAUAAGUGUUUAUCUACUCAUACCAAAAUAAGAGGAAACUACUAAAUUGUUCAUAAUGUAAAAUUGCAAGAAUUAAAAGGAGAUAGAAAAAUUCUAAUGUUUGGUUGAUCUUCUCACACUUGUUCUUGCCUCCAAAAAUAGUUUUAAAAAAACUUGGAACAAUCUUGGGCGAGUUUCUAAAGCUUAUAAGGGUUUACAAAAGUUUUUCCGAAAUUAUACUUUGGUCCUCAAACUUCCAGCAACGUGAACAGUGCACCGCGGUCGACCGCGGUGAGAGCUGACCUUUCUGCCUCACGAUUUUAAUCUAUCGCGGUUCACCGCGGUCGCGGUGGACUUCUUGCCCAGGCCAUUUUCUGCUUCUUAGUGCUCGGGUACUUCUCGAGUGGGCGUUUUCUUCACAUUAUCGCCUCCAAAAUACUCCAUGUUGCUUCCUUUCAUAUAAUAUUCCCUGCGAAACAAAAGAACACUAUUCAGAGCAUUUUAUUAGCAAUUUAUCUAUAAAACAACAACAAGGUAUGAUCAUAUUAAGACGUAAAUAUCAACUAUAUAGCCUACUAUCAAUUACCCUUUUUGAAGUUUGAGGAUUAAUUUCUACCAAGUGAUGCUGAAGCGGAAUUCAUAAAAAGGUCUUGGCAAAGUUUUUAAUGAGAAAGUGCAUGAAGGAGUUUAACCAGACCAUAUCUGGCCAUUGAGUAGGUAUAUCUAGCAGCCAGAGUUUCUAGUCAUUUUAAUUUUAUUAGAGUUCCCUUGAUUUUGAAGCAGGUUAUGCAUGAAUUGUAAAGUGUGGAGUGGUAAUAUUUAAGUAUUUUUAUAAAAUAAAUAUUUAUUAUCAUAGAAACAUAUAAAUUAAUAGUGUAUUUAUAUUAUGGAUUUGGCUCGAUUGUUUUCUUAAAUAUUAUCGAUUUUUUAAAAUGAAAAUCAAGUCAAAAAAUGUGUCGGUUUCUUUAGGUCGAUUUGGUUUAGUUUUUGAUUUAAUCCUUUUUUUUUUUAUUGAACACCACUAAUCACAAGUCAAACUGAACAUUAACAAAAGUUUAUUAGCUCCUGUAUUAUUUUGUAAAACAAUGCUCUGACCUUUUACAAAUUACCUUGACCUGUUAGGAAAUCUAUUUACCAACAGAAAAGAUGAAAGCGAAUCUGACCUUUCCUUUUCCAUGUUAAUUCUUAAAAAGAAAGUUUAACCAAUAUAGGAAACUAAUUAUGGAAAAGAGAACAUUUCCUAAUAGGAAACUACCUAUGUUUUACAGCUUUAGGAAUCCUUACAUAAAUAGCAUUUGUUUUCAUCUCUCUCUAUAAAUAUAUCAGACCUUCAAGAAUUCUAAAUUGGAGUAUUAAUUCAAGCACCACCCAUACUUGAAGAAGACGAGAAGAGAAAAGGAGUAUUUUAAGUUACUUGCACAGACAAUAUAAUAGCGAGGUUAGUUAUUAUUCUUAUCAGGUUACCGGUUUAUAUGCUUAUUACAAAUUUAUGUAUAGUUACUUUAGAGAAAAGAGUUAAAUUUGCUCUUAUACUAUUCGAGAUUGAGCAACUUUACCUCCAUUAGACUCUUGGUCUAUUAUUACCCAUACCGUGGGAAUUUGUCUGUUUUUAUUUUAUUUUAUUUUGGACACGGGAACAAGGGCAAAUACGAAACAAGGAUGAUUUUUUGAGAUAGUACAUGCACAAAUUUGAUAAAUUUUCCUAUUUUCUUAUCUAUAUUUUUAUAGAAGACGAGAUGGGGACGGGAAAGAAGAAGAUAGAAAUCAAGCAAAUAAUGAAUGGUGACAUUCUCCAAGAGACGCAAAGGUCUUUUCGAUCAAGAAAGCUUUAGAACUAACUCGAAUCCAUGAGUGGCGCUGGUGUUGCUGCUAUUGUUUUCUCACCUACUGGAAAGCCUUACACUUGCGGCGACGUUAAUUAGUUCCGCCAUUGACAGGCACUUUUCUAGUUGUAUAGAUCCAUAUAUCUGGUUCUGGUGAUGUUUCUAGCGGCUCUUCCAUUGAGGAACGGUCUCUGUAAUUGGUUAGAGAAUAAUGUGAAAACUUGAAUGAACUGCUGUUGUUGAAGGAGCAACUGGAAGGAACAAGAGAGAAGCUAAGCUUGUGUCCAUAGAGGGUUCUGAGUCUUUUCUGGCUUUGUUUAUGUGAUAGAUGUAAGCAUAAACUUUAAUUCAUACCAGGAUCUUGAACAUGAUAAUCUUACAUGUAAUUGCCAUAGAAAACAUACCUGAAGCGGAAUCCAUUAUCUUGAAGCGGAAGCGUUAAUUCAAAAACUGGUUUCUCGCCCCUUGCCCUAAC